rnacentral:rRNA from 1 species
AUGAACGCUAGCUACAGGCUUAACACAUGCAAGUCGAGGGGCAGCAUGAACUUAGCUUGCUAAGUUUGAUGGCGACCGGCGCACGGGUGAGUAACACGUAUCCAACCUGCCGAUGACUCGGGGAUAGCCUUUCGAAAGAAAGAUUAAUACCCGAUGGCAUAGUUCUUCCGCAUGGUAGAACUAUUAAAGAAUUUCGGUCAUCGAUGGGGAUGCGUUCCAUUAGGUUGUUGGCGGGGUAACGGCCCACCAAGCCUUCGAUGGAUAGGGGUUCUGAGAGGAAGGUCCCCCACAUUGGAACUGAGACACGGUCCAAACUCCUACGGGAGGCAGCAGUGAGGAAUAUUGGUCAAUGGACGAGAGUCUGAACCAGCCAAGUAGCGUGAAGGAUGACUGCCCUAUGGGUUGUAAACUUCUUUUAUACGGGAAUAAAGUGAGGCACGUGUGCCUUUUUGUAUGUACCGUAUGAAUAAGGAUCGGCUAACUCCGUGCCAGCAGCCGCGGUAAUACGGAGGAUCCGAGCGUUAUCCGGAUUUAUUGGGUUUAAAGGGAGCGUAGGCGGACGCUUAAGUCAGUUGUGAAAGUUUGCGGCUCAACCGUAAAAUUGCAGUUGAUACUGGGUGUCUUGAGUACAGUAGAGGCAGGCGGAAUUCGUGGUGUAGCGGUGAAAUGCUUAGAUAUCACGAAGAACUCCGAUUGCGAAGGCAGCUUGCUGGACUGUAACUGACGCUGAUGCUCGAAAGUGUGGGUAUCAAACAGGAUUAGAUACCCUGGUAGUCCACACAGUAAACGAUGAAUACUCGCUGUUUGCGAUAUACAGUAAGCGGCCAAGCGAAAGCGUUAAGUAUUCCACCUGGGGAGUACGCCGGAAACGGUGAAGCUCAAAGGAAUUGACGGGGGCCCGCACAAGCGGAGGAACAUGUGGUUUAAUUCGAUGAUACGCGAGGAACCUUACCCGGGCUUGAAUUGCAACUGAAUGAUGUGGAGACAUGUCAGCCGCAAGGCAGUUGUGAAGGUGCUGCAUGGUUGUCGUCAGCUCGUGUCGUGAGAUGUUGGGUUAAGUCCCGCAACGAGCGCAACCCCUGUUUCUAGUUGCCAGCAUGUAAAGAUGGGAACUCUAGAAAGACUGCCGUAGAUAAUACGGAGGAAGGUGGGGAUGACGUCAAAUCAGCACGGCCCUUACGUCCGGGGCUACACACGUGUUACAAUGGGGGGUACAGAAGGCAGCUACACGGCGACGUGAUGCUAAUCCCGAAAGCCUCUCUCAGUUCGGAUUGGAGUCUGCAACCCGACUCCAUGAAGCUGGAUUCGCUAGUAAUCGCGCAUCAGCCACGGCGCGGUGAAUACGUUCCCGGGCCUUGUACACACCGCCCGUCACACCAUGAGAGUUGGGGAUACCCGAAGCCUGUGAGCCAACAGUUAAAUGGGGCAGCAGUCGAAGGUAGAAUCAAUGAUUGGGGUG